rnacentral:rRNA from 1 species
CUUCGGGGACAGAAUGACAGGUGGUGCAUGGUUGUCGUCAGCUCGUGUCGUGAGAUGUUGGGUUAAGUCCCGCAACGAGCGCAACCCUUAUUACUAGUUGCCAGCAUUAAGUUGGGCACUCUAGUGAGACUGCCGGUGACAAACCGGAGGAAGGUGGGGACGACGUCAAAUCAUCAUGCCCCUUAUGACCUGGGCUACACACGUGCUACAAUGGAUGGUACAACGAGUGCGAAACCGCGAGGUUGAGCUAAUCUCUUAAA